GACGAACGCUGGCGGCGUGCUUAACACAUGCAAGUCGAACGGAAAGGCCCUGCUUUUGUGGGGUGCUCGAGUGGCGAACGGGUGAGUAACACGUGAGUAACCUGCCCUUGACUUUGGGAUAACUUCAGGAAACUGGGGCUAAUACCGGAUAGGAGCUCCUGCUGCAUGGUGGGGGUUGGAAAGUUUCGGCGGUUGGGGAUGGACUCGCGGCUUAUCAGCUUGUUGGUGGGGUAGUGGCUUACCAAGGCUUUGACGGGUAGCCGGCCUGAGGGGGUGACCGGCCACAUUGGGAUUGAGAUACGGCCCAGACUCCUACGGGAGGCAGCAGUGGGGAAUAUUGCACAAUGGGCGGAAGCCUGAUGCAGCAACGCCGCGUGCGGGAUGACGGCCUUCGGGUUGUAAACCGCUUUCGCCUGUGACGAAGCGUGAGUGACGGUAAUGGGUAAAGAAGCACCGGCUAACUACGUG
rnacentral:rRNA from 1 species